CCUCAGUCACCCUAGCUCAUCUCCUCUGCAGCAAGGUCCCACGUUCUCCUUCCAGUGGACGGGGGUUCUGUGGGAUAAGGCUAAAAGACAACUGGUAACAUGCAGCUCCCCAGAAAGCAGAAGUUCAAAGACUGUGACCUUCAGCUCCACUUACAACUAAGAUUCAAAACUCUGUCAUCAUCCCACAUUUAUGGGUAAAACAAGCAUACACAAAAUCCUGAUGGAAGUGAAGUAUGUUUUAUUUGGAAUAAUGAAGAUGAAAGGAGGAAACGUUUGCUGAAUAUGACAGAAAUUCUGCCAUCAGUUACUUGAGAUUCAUGACAGUGUAACCCAGAUGCACAAGGGCAACUCUCCAUGGCUGGAGCUUACUGAAAUCAUCCAGGUUAAAGAAAACACUUGAAGAAUAAAAGGCUUUUCUUAAGCCCA
rnacentral:lncRNA from 1 species